CCAGAAGAUCCAGUAGCCAUCUGAUCGACAUCAAGAGCGUUUUACUUUGUGCGUACGUUAUUUCCCCUCCACAACACAAGGGAAACAUGAAGAUGUUUUCUUUCUUUUCACUGUCCAUUGUGGUUGCGAUCCUGAUGUGUGAGGUCAUCGUCGAAACCGAGGCUCAAGGGAGGAUCAGCUGAAACGCCGGGUCCGAAAUGGUAGAGUUCUGCACCAGUUGCCUAUCACACACAAUGUGUGCAAGGAAAUCUGAUGCGGCAGGAAACUGCUCCUUUGAAUGUGCAAUAUCCGAGAUCGUCUAGUGAAUUCAGUCCUGUCGUAAGGUGGUCUCACCCUGUCGUAAUGUGGUCCCACUGUGUAUAUUACCACCUGCUCUUUGGUAUUAUGUGGUUGGUGUAGACUUGACAUGGACACUUGACUUUAUUCCAAAAUAAAUUCUGCACAGCAAAA